rnacentral:rRNA from 1 species
AGCAUGCGAGUCAAAUGUUCUUCGUGAACAUGGCGUACUGCUCAGUAACACGUGGAUAACCUGCCUUAGGACUGGCAUAACCCCGGGAAACUGGGGAUAAUUCCGGAUAGUUCAUGGUAGCUGGAAUGCUCCAUGAUCGAAAGCUAUUGCGCGUAAGGAUGGGUCUGCGGUCUAUCAGGUAGUAGUGGGUGUAAUGUACCUACUAGCCGACGACGGAUACGGGUUGUGGGAGCAAGAGCCCGGAGAUGGAUUCUGAGACAUGAAUCCAGGCCCUACGGGGCGCAGCAGGCGCGAAAACUUUACAAUGCGGGAAACCGCGAUAAGGGGACACCGAGUGCCAGCAUCUUAUGUUGGCUGUCCGCAUGUAUAAAUCACAUGUGUUAGCAAGGGCCGGGCAAGACCGGUGCCAGCCGCCGCGGUAACACCGGCGGCCCGAGUGGUGGCCACUAUUAUUGGGUCUAAAGGGUCCGUAGCCGGUUUGGUCAGUCUUCCGGGAAAUCUGACGGCUUAACCGUUAGGCUUUCGGGGGAUACUACCAGGCUUGGGACCGGGAGAGGUAAGAGGUACUACGGGGGUAGGAGUGAAAUCUUGUAAUCCUCGUGGGACCACCAGUGGCGAAGGCGUCUUACCAGAACGGGUCCGACGGUGAGGGACGAAAGCUGGGGGCACGAACCGGAUUAGAUACCCGGGUAGUCCCAGCCGUAAACUAUGCUCGCUAGGUGUCAGGGACGGUGCGACCGUUUCUGGUGCCGCAGGGAAGCCGUGAAGCGAGCCACCUGGGAAGUACGGUCGCAAGGCUGAAACUUAAAGGAAUUGGCGGGGGAGCACUACAACGGGUGGAGCCUGCGGUUUAAUUGGACUCAACGCCGGAAAACUCACCGGGGGCGACAGCAAUAUGUAGG